rnacentral:rRNA from 1 species
GUCUAUGGCCAUACCACCCUGGAUGUAGCUGAUCUUGUCUGACCUCGGAAGCUAAGCAAGUUUGGGCCUGCUUAGUACUUGGAUGGGAGAAAAUAUAAUGUUGUAUGAU